UACGAAGGGGGCUAGCGUUGCUCGGAAUCACUGGGCGUAAAGCGCACGUAGGCGGACUCUUAAGUCGGGGGUGAAAUCCUGGAGCUCAACUCCAGAACUGCCUUCGAUACUGGGAGUCUUGAGUUCGGGAGAGGUGAGUGGAACUGCGAGUGUAGAGGUGAAAUUCGUAGAUAUUCGCAAGAACACCAGUGGCGAAGGCGGCUCACUGGCCCGAUACUGACGCUGAGGUGCGAAAGCGUGGGGAGCAAACAGGGAU
rnacentral:rRNA from 1 species